CAGUAGCCGCGGGAAUACGGAGGGGGCUAGCGUUGUUCGGAAUUACUGGGCGUAAAGCGUACGUAGGCGGCUUUGUAAGUUAGAGGUGAAAGCCUGGUGCUCAACACCAGAAUUGCCUUUAAGACUGCAUCGCUUGAACGUCGGAGAGGUGAGUGGAAUUCCGAGUGUAGAGGUGAAAUUCGUAGAUAUUCGGAAGAACACCAGUGGCGAAGGCGGCUCACUGGACGACUGUUGACGCUGAGGUACGAAAGCGUGGGGAGCAAACAGGAUUAGAUACCCCAGUAGUCCCUGUCUCUUAUAC
rnacentral:rRNA from 1 species